rnacentral:rRNA from 1 species
GAAACGACUGCUAAGACUGGAUAGGAAGUUUUAAGGCAUCUUGAAACUUUUAAAAGACCCGCAAGGGUAUGCUGAGAGAUGGGCUUGCGGCACAUUAGUUAGUUGGUAAGGUAACGGCUUACCAAGACCAUGAUGUGUAGCUGGACUGAGAGGUUGAACGGCCACAUUGGGACUGAGAUACGGAAACUCCUACGGGAGGCAGCAGUAAGGAAUUUUCGGCAAUGGAGGAAACUCUGACCGAGCAACGCCGCGUGAAGAUGAAGUAUUUAGUAUGUAAAGUUCUUUUAUUAAGAAAAAAUGAUGGAAAAAUCAUUCUGACGGUAUUUAAUGAAAGCCCCGGCUAACUAUGUGCCAGCAGCUGCGGUAAUACAUGGGGGGCAAGCGUUAUCCGGAUUUAUUGGGCGUAAAGGGUGCGUAGGCGGUUUAAUAAGUCUAUGGUCUAAGUUCAACGCUUAACGUUGUGAGCU